UUAUUACUCCCUUCGUUCCAAAUUACUCGUCGCAGAAAUGGAUGUAUCUAGAACUAAAAUACAUCUAGAUACAUCCAUACCCGCGACAAGUAAUUCGGAACGGAGGGAGUACUUG
rnacentral:pre_miRNA from 1 species